CCUACGGGAGGCAGCAGUGAGGAAUCUUGGUCAAUGGACGAGAGUCUGAACCAGCAACGUAGCGUGAAGGAUGACUGCCCUCUGGGUUGUAAACUUCUUUUAUAUGGGAAUAAAAUGUUCCACGUGACUGAUUUCGUAUGUACCAUAUGAAUACGGAUCGGCUCACUCAGUGCCAGCAGCCGCGGUAAUACGGAGGGUCCGAGCGUUAUCCGGAUGUAUUGGGUUUAAAGGGAGCGUAGGUGGAUUGUUAAGUCAGUUGUGAAAGUUUGCGGCUCAACCGUAAAAGUGCAGUUGAAACUGGCAGUCUUGAGUACAGUAGAGGUGGGCGGAAUUCGUGGUGUAGCGGUGAAAUGCUUAGAUAUCACGAAGAACUCCGAUUGCGAAGGCAGCUGACUGGACUGCAACUGACACUGAGGCUCGAAAGUGUGGGUAUCAAACAGGAUUAGAUACCCGGGUAGUC
rnacentral:rRNA from 1 species